CGGACUGGGCCAAAAAGAUAAACGAGAACUGGACGCUUGCAUCGUCGUUCUGUUUCCUAUUUUGUCUGUGUCCG
rnacentral:ncRNA from 1 species